UGAUGUGGUUCUCUGGGGGCUGGGGGGACACAGGCAGUGUAUGCACCUCUCUAUCUCUUAGGCUGUUCGUGAAAGGUGACUUUCUGGAGCUGUUCGUGAAAAGCUCUGCCAUUUUGAUAAGUCAGGCAGAAUGCAAAUGGCAUGCAGGCAAGUAAGAGAGACAAUGAAAUAUCAAGCCAGGAGUGGUGGAUUCAAAAUUUGUAAAGAGGUGCACCUGUACCAGGGAAGACUCAGCUGAUCACAAAGUUCUGGAAAAAAAAAUGCUGCAGGGGUAGGUAAAUGACAUUCAGGAGAAGGCUUAUUAUGUCUUGGAAGGGGGUUUUCUCUGUGAAGGUAGGUCAUUUUCAAAUUUUGUUUAUUGUCAUGUAUAUGUAUAAAUAAUGUUAUUUUUUUUCUCUUUUUCAGUAAGUUUUGGCUCAUCCACUUAAUAGAACUGUAUGAUUUGGGAAAAGUUUCUUCAAGGUAUUAAUAGCAUAUAGUACUUAGAAUUGUUCUGAGAGCUAAAUGACAUAGUAUAUUUAAAGAGCAUAGAACUUGUUCAAGACAAAAAUAUUAGUUGUUAUUUCUGUCAUCAUAGUUAUUCUAAGUAUGCAUAAGCCGCUCUUCAUUUGAGCAGCUGCUAAAAUUCUGCUUUCUCUCCAAAUAUCUUCAAGUCAACUCAACUCAAUAAGCAGUUAGUGAUCACUCAGUAUAUGCCAGGCACAGAGGAGACACUGGAAAUACCACAAAUACAACACUGACCUUGCCAUUGAGCAGUUUAUCUUCUAGCAGGGAAGGCAAACCCAUAAAUUAAUUGCAGUCAUGUACCACCUAACAAUCUAAGGACAUUUUGGUCAAUAAUGUCAGACCCAUAUUUGGUAGUGGUUUCAUAAGAUUAUAAUAGAGCUGACCAUAUUUUUGUGUCUUGUUCAAUUUCUUUUAUCAGUGUUUUACAGUUUUCAUUGUAGAGAUCUUUCACCUCUUUGGAUCAAUUUAUUCCCUGUAUUUUAUUUUAUUUUUGUGACUAUUGUAAAUGAGAUUGCUUUCUUGAUUUCUUUUUUAGAUAAUUGGCUAUUGGCCUAUUCAAACUGAUUUCUGUAUGCUGAUUUUGUGGCCUGUAACUUUACUGAAUUUGUGUAUUAGUUCUAAUUGAUUGAAGAAGUUUUGGGGUUUUCUUUCUGUAUGAUCAUGUCAUCUGAAAACCAUUCCUCAUCUUCCACUUGAAUUACUUCCUUUCUUUUUCUUGGCUGGUUGCUCUGGCUAGGACAUUCCAUACUAUAUUGAAUGAAAGUGCUGAAAGUGGAAUCCUUGUCUUAAUCUGAAUUUUAGAGAGAAAGCUUUCAGCUUUUCCCCAUUCCGUAAUGAUGUUAGCUGUGGGAUUUUUAUAUAUGAUAUUCAUUUUAAUGUUGAGGUAUGUUCCUUUAAUUCAUUCAGAGUUUUUAUCAUAACAGGAUAUUGAAUUUUCUCAUGUUUUUCUGGUCUAAUGAGAUGAUCAUAUGGUUUUGUCUUUCUUAAUAUUGAUAUGGUGUACCACAUGGAUUUGUAUAAGUUGAGUCAUCUUUGCAUCCUUGGGAGAAAUCACAUUUGAUCAUAGUGAAUAACUUUUUUGGGGGGGAGGGGCGGGGGGGGCUACCAGGGAUUGAAUUCAGGGGCACUUUACCACUGACCCCCAUCCCAGGCCUAUUUUGUAUUUUAUUUAGAGACAGGGUCUUACUGAGUUGCUUAGUGCCUCGCUUUUGCUGAAGCUGGCCUUGAACUCACAAUCUUCCUGUCCCAGCCUGUAACUUUUUUUUUAAAUGUGCUAUUGGACUCAGUGUGCUAGUAUUUUGUUGAAAAAUUUUUGCAACUAUUUUCAUCAGUGAUAUUGGCCUAUAGGGUUAUUUUUUAUUGUGUCCUUGUCUGAUUUUAGUGUCAGGGUAAUGCUAGUCUUAUGAAAUAGAUUUGGAAUAAUUUCCCUCUCCUCAAUGUUUUAGAAUAAUUUUUAAAAGGAUUGAUUUUAGUUCUUUAAAUUUAAAUUUUUGGUAAAAUUCAACAGUCAAACCAUCUGGUUGGAAUUGUAUUUGUUAUUGAUUCAGUCUUGUUUCUCAUUAUUGGUGUUUUUGGAUUUUCUGUUUCUUCAUGAUUCAAUUUUAGUAAGGUAUGUAUAUGUUCUGAAAUUUGUACAUUUUUUUCUUUUCUAAGUUAUCAAAUUUGUUGGCAUGUAGCUGUUCAUAUUGGCUCUAGUGAUCCUCUGUGUUUCUGUUGUGUCUCCUUUUUUUGUCUCUGAUUGUAUUUGAGAUUUUUUUCUCUCUCUCUUUUUGUUUAGUUAGUCUAACAGUUUAUCAAUUUUUUGUUUGUUAAAAAAACUCAAUUUUAUUGAUGUUUUGUGUUAUUUUUAGCCUAUUUCAUUUACUUCUAUGCUGAUUUUUCUUAUUUCUUUUCUUCCACUAAUUUUGUGUUUGGUUUGUUCUUGAUUUUCUCCUUCUUUGAAGUGCAGUGAUAGGUUGUUUGAGAUCUUUCUGCUUUUUUCAGUGGAGGUGGAUUUUUGCUAUAAACUUCCCUCUCAGAACUGCUUUUGCUUUAUCUCAAAGUUUUGGAAUGUCAUGAUUCUGUUUUCAUUUCUUUCAAGAAGUUUUUAAAUUCUCCUCAAUUUCUUCAUUGAUUCAUUGGGUGCUCAGGAGUAUGUUGUUUAUUUUCUAUGUAUUUGUAUAAUUUCCAAAAUCUUUCUUGUUAUUGAUUUCUUAUUUUAUUGCAUUGUGGUCAAGAAAAGAUAUUUAAUGUGACUUAGGUUUUUAGAAUUUGUUGAAAUCAGUAUGUUGAAGAGAUACAUUUAUUCCUGAGUUUGUUGUAGCACUAUUCACAGUAGUCAAGAAAUGAAAACAACAUUAGUUAGUGUCCAUUAACUGAUGAAUGGAUAAAGGAAGUGUGGUAGGUGGUAGGUAUACACAAUGGAAAACUAUUUAGCUAAAAAAAGGAAUUUAAUUUUUUUAUUUGCAACAGCAUAAAGUGGAAGUGGAGGUUGUUACGUCAAGUGAAAUAAGAUAGGAAUAGAAAAACAGAUACCACACGAUCUUAUUCAUACAUGGAAUUAAAAAAAAAAUGAUCUCACAGAAGUUGAGGGUAGAAUGGUAAUUACCAUGAAGGAGUACCUGAAAGAGAGAGAUGGGGUAAAGUUGGUCAAAGGGUACUAAGUCAUAGUUAGGAAAAAUAAAUUCUGGUGUUUUAUUCUAUAGUUGGUAAUGAUAGACAAUGACAUUGUACUGUAUAUUUUCUAAAAACUUGAAAGGGUUUUGAAUGUAUUUACCACAAAGAAUGGUAUUUAAGGAGAUCAUUGAUUUGAGCAUUACACAAUGUAUACAUGUACUGAAGCCAAACAUGGCACUCUAUAAGUGUGGGCAAUUUUUAUAUGUCAAAAAAUGAAUUCGUGCUGGGGGUGAUUGUGCAUCCCUGUAAUCUCAGCUAUUCGGGUUGCUAAGUUGGGAAAAUCAUGAGUUCAAGGCCAACCUGUGCAACAUACUGAGACACUGUCUCAAAUUAUUAAUUAAUUAAUUAAUUAAGAGAUUAUAACGGAGCCUAGGAGUUCCUAUCACCUGCUGAGUACAUAGGCAUUGUAACACCAUCAUCAUGCAGUGUAUUGCCUAUGUGUUUCUGGCAAUGUAAAAUCUAUUAUGCUGCCAGUUGUAUAAGACACAGCACAUGUGGUUAUGUAUAGUAGUAUUACUGGAUAGUAAAUGACUUUGUUAAUAGUUUAUGUAUUUUCUAUAUUACACAUUCUAUCAUUGCUUUAGAGCAUACUCCUACUUAUAAAAAUAAGUUUACUAUAAAUAUGAUAUGCUGUGUAACUCUGGCAGCAGCCUCAUAAAUCUGGUGUUUACCAGGUCUCUGGAUUGCAUCAUUUUCUUUUGUUUGAUUUAACUCGUCUUGUUCAUUGUGGCUCCAGGAGAUACACACACACACACACACACACACACACCACUAGCCUAGGAAUGAGGUAGGCAGGCUGAAUUAUUUAGGUUUGUCUAGGUAUACUCUGUGAUGUUCUCAUGAUGAAAUCACCCAGUGAUACAUUUCUCAGCAUUGUCAAGUGACAUGGAGAACAAGGACUGAUGCACAUAAAUUUUUGAGAGUUUCUAAGGAUAAGAAAUACUGUUUCGAUGAUUAAACUCACUCCACAAAGGAGGAGGAGUGAAGGCACCACAGAAGUCCUCUGUCAGAGGCUUCUAAAGACUCACGAGGGCUGUUGCGAUGUAGGAAUGAAGUAUUGCUACGUGGCAAAGCAUGGAUGGUCCUUGAAAACAAUAUGCCAAGAAAAGAAGGCAGACAUGAAAGACCAGAUGUUGCAUUAUUUCAUUUAUAUGAAAGACCUAGAACAGGCAAAUCCAUUCAUAUAGUAGAUUAGUAUUAUGUAGGAGUUGGGGGUAUUGGGAGAAGGAAUAGGAAGUGACUGCUGUUGAGUAUGGGGUUACUUUUGGGGAGUGAUAGAAAUGUUCUAAAAUUAGAUGCUGAUGCUGUCUUAGCACAUCUGUGAAUAUAUUUAAAAUUGUUGAGUCAUUUACUUUGAAAGGGUGAAUUUUAUGAGAUGUGAAUUUUAUCUCAAUAAAACUGUCAUUUAAAAAAUUAUUUGUUGCAUUUAGUUGUUACGUCUCUUCAACCUCCUUGGAAUAAUUAUUUAAUCUUUCUUGAUUUUAUUGACCUUGAUUCUUUUGAAAAUUACAGGCCAGUUCUUUUGUGGAUUGUUCAUCAGGUUUUUGGUGUUUCCUCAUGGUUAGAUUCAGGUUAUAUAUAUUGGCCAAAAAUAUCACAGAUGUAGUACUGUGUUCUCAUUGUAUCUUAUAGAGUGGUACACAAUUUUAGUUUGUCCAGUUACUGGUUAACUAAACUAAGAUACUGUAUAUCAGCUUUCUGUUUUUUAAAGUUAUUCUUUUUCCCUUUGAAAUCAUUUUAAUUUUGUGAAAAGUUACAUUGAGACUGUAUAAAUAUCUCAUUCUUUAUCAAGUACUUACUUAUCUGUUUAUGUCAGAAUGAACCCAGACUUUCACAUCUAAAUGUCAUGCUAUGAUGUAUUAUUAAAGUCAUUUUGCUGUUCAAAUUAUCCCAGAUUUGGCUAGUAGGAGUCCCUUCAAACUGGCUUCUGUGUCUUUGUGGUACAUCCCUUUCAUUCUCUGAGCACUUCCUUACUCUUUGUUACAAGAAGAUACUCUAAUUUUGUCUGUACUUUGUCUGCCCAGCCCUAUAAUCAGUUAUUUUUUACAAGAAACUCAGCUUCUUUUUAAUGGAGAAUGAUAUUUAGAAACCAAGAUUUGAUUUCUAAGGUAUGCUUACUGGUCUUUGGGUGUCACUGUUUCCAGGUCCCUCCUCGUGGACUAAGCUGGAGAAUAGACGUAUGUUUAUGUGUAUGUACAUGCACACAUUUAUGUCUGUGAUUCUCUACAUUGUCUGUCUACUGUCCACACAUCCACCCAAUAAACCAUCCAGUUUUCUCCUUUCCAUGUUUGUAAUUCCCUUUUCUGAGAGCAAGAAAUUUGAUUUCCAUUAUCCUCAAGAUAGUUAUUUAUAUGACCAUACCUUUAUAUAAACUCAUCUUCCAUCCAUUCUCACACUACUCAAGUUCCAGCACAUGCUACUCCUUCUUGGACCUAUCUAACGGUUUCUGGGCUGAAUUGAUCAAAAAGGAAAGGAGGUAGGAGGAAAACAAGGAGAAAGCCGUUUUUCUUUUGACUUAUAAUUCAGAGAAAUAUGCUAAUAGGUUUUCUAAUAUUGACUUGUCCUUGAAUUUUUGUUAUAUGGUGUCUUUUGGUUUCUCUAUUUUUUAAAAAGAUUUUUUUGAUAAGCUAAUUUAUUUUGCUGACAUAAAAAAGCUUUGGAAUGCUAGAGAUUUUCUUAGACAUUCCUUUAAUUUUAUUCUCUUUGAUUUCCAUGGGAGGAAUACAAGGCUUUCUCCUGACUUCUUGGCAUUUUUUUAAGUGUCUUUGAUUUUUGAAAUGCCAUAAGAAAUAAGGCUAUAUUUUCAGUUGUGGAAAUUAUUGAUAUGAUUCAGAAGCAUGACAUAUAAGAUACCUACUUUCAGUGGUAAAGUCGGACUCUUGGAAAAUCAUAUUUAUAUAACUUAAUGAGUUUUUUCAAAGAAACAGAAAAGAGAUUUCUAAUAUUUCCUGGGAUUUCAUAAAGAACACAUGAAAGGAAACCAAAUAGCAUUUGUUCUUUCAGUAUUGGACAGAACCAACCUUAAAGAAUAAUUCAUAAAUAACCAAUAACAAUACCAUUAUCAUUCAACUCCUUCACAUCUAGCCUAACCCAAUUGAAUUUCUUUGAGUCCUUAAGAAAGUUAAUUGAAGAGAUAAAUCUGUUCUGGAAAGCAUUUAUAUUUUAAAAAGAGGUAGAAUUUGAGAAAGUACCAUGUAGAUAUAUAUCAUUCUAUAAAUCAUGAUUAUCAUUAGUGAACUAAAACUUAGAGCAAGUCAUAUAGUUAAAUAAUGUCCAUAGUUUUACACUUGAGAACAGCCCUUGUCCUCUCACUUGAUCAUUGCUACAAUUUCUUAGGGUCUUUGGGCUUUUCAACUUGAUCACUCCUGAAUUUUUUUUCUACCAGUUCUAAAAGCACAAUAAAAAUGAUAGCUAGAGGAAAAAUGCUGAUAUUUUUUGGUUGCAAGGUUUACAUGUAUUGUAACAUAACCAGUUUGUUAUUGGGGAACUGUGCCCUCCAGUGAAUUGCAUGCUUCAAUUAUAUCAGUAUCCCUGGUACUGAGAGGGGUGGGGGGGAAAUAACCCAAUUUUAAAAAUAAAGAACUCUGAAAACAAAGAACAAAUAGCAUUUUGGAAACAUGUUUGUUCAUGUAGGUCACAUUCAUUGCAGGUCUGCAUCAAUCAGAGCCUGUGAUUAGAAUAGCCAUUCAUUAAUUCAUUCAUUCAACAAAUAUUUAUUGAAAUCCUUCCAUGUGCUGGACACUGUGCUAGGUAAGUGUGUUACUAAGAAAGACAAACAUGGUCUUUGCUGACAAAUGCUUAACUGGCUUUCCAGGAGGAAAAAUUCUGAUUUUUAGUAUUUUUCAAUUUCUGUGGUAUAAAUACUCCCAUUGUACCCAAUUUCAAACCAUCAAUGUUCUGCAGAAUGAGAAGAAGUGGGGACAAUCAGGAGUUGCAAGUCAAUGUGAGCUGGCUCCAAUACUCCACUGGCUCUUGAUGUCCAAGAGCUUAUGGUCAAGUUGGGGAGCUGUACACUUAAAAAUUACUUUAAUAAAUUGUAACUUCAAAUUGUGAUGGAGCUGUGAAACAGGGGCCUGUGGCAUUAUGAUGGAAACAGGACUACACACUAGAUUGUGGAAAUGUUGGAAGUAUUCCCUGGGCAACUGAUAUUUAAGAUGAGAACUUAAGGUAUAAAAGGAGAUUACCAGAUGAAGGAAGAACAUUUUAGACAGAUGUUAGGGCUCAUGAAAAGGUUCUGUGGUAGGAGGGAAGUUGGUGAAUUUGAAGAAAAUUAAAGGGUUUGUAGCUGAAAUGUGACAGGAAGAGGAACAUAUGAGUUUGAAGACAAAAAAUGAACCAUCUGUGGUUUAUCAACUAUGAUAAAAACAGAGAUUUUUAUCCUAAAUACAGGGGUUGUCCAUUGAAGAAUUUAAGCCUUGGAGUAAAAUGAUGAAAAUUGCACUUUUAAAAGGUCACUCUAGCUACAACAUGGAGAGGGAGUUUCAGUUGACCUGGGCGGCAAGCUGGGAGGGAAAAAGCAGUGUCUUACAUAGUCUAUGUACGAGAUGCCUAUAAAUUAGACUAGGGUCUUGGCAAUAAAAAUGGAGAGAAGCAGAGAAAUUCCAGAGAUAUUUUUGACUUUAAAUUGAGUUGAGUUAAUAGGGGCUAGUAUUUAAUGUAUUACCCAAUCUGUCUGAGUUUUGCACAACUGGUUGGAUUGGGGUACCAGAAAGUAUGAGAACAUCAUUAUGUGUGGGGCAGAUCAUAAAUAUUGGAAUCUUGGGCUUUGUUAUAAUUUGGAUGUGAGGUGUCCCCCCAAAGCUAUGUGUGAAAUAAUGCAAGAAGGUUUAGAGGAGAAAUGAUUAGGUUAUGAGAGCCUUAACCUAACCAGUGAAUUAAUCCCCUGAUAGGAUUAACUGAGGGUAACUGAAGGUAGGUAGGGUGUGGCUGGAGGCGGUGGGUCAUUGGGAUAUAUAUUUUGUAUCUAGGGAGUGGAGUCUCUCUCUCUGCUUUCUGAGCAUGAUGUGAGCCACUUUCCUCCACACACUUUUCCACCAUGAUGUUCAGCCUCACCUCAAGCCCCAAGGAAUGGAGCCAGCUGCCUAUGAAUUGAGACCUCUAAAAUUGUGAGCCCCAAAAACCACUUUUUCUCCUCUAAAAUUGCUCUGGUCAGAUCUUUUUAUCACAACAGUGAAAAAGCUGACUAAAACAGGCUUGAUGAGUUGGAAACAUUUUUGAGACAUCCAAGUGGAUAUAUGGGUCUAGAACUCAGAAUAGAAGUCUGGUCUAGAGUAUACAUUUUGGAGUGAUUUACAUGCAGAUGUGGUUUGAGCCACCUGGUGUCAUGAACCUUGCUCUUCAGACAGCAGACAUCUUUUCUGCACAUACCCAGUGGUUUAACUGUUGUUGUUUUUCCCUGAAAGGUCUUUUUUAUCUGUAUAGGGGCCUAGUAAUGCAUCCUGCCUGCUUCAACAAUGUUUGGAGAAUAUAGAAUAUGUUUUAUUUCUUUCUAAAUUUGUUUUAUGAGCUCUUUUUCCUUAAAGAUUUCCCUAAACUUUAAUAGGCAAUGUACUAAAUGAAAUAGUGCAAGUAAAGUAGUUUGCACAUAACAUACAUGUGUUAUCUAGCAUAUAAAGGAUAAAUAUAGCGUAUAACUGGUGCACAAUUAGAACUAAAAAAUGGUGACUGUUAUCAUUAUCAUCAUCUUCCUCUUUUGAUCUCAUUUUCCUAAUUUUAUUAUGAAUAGGCUUACAUUAACAAUGCAUUGAAAGGAAAUGUGUGAUAUAUAUGGCAAAUUUCUAAGAUUCAUACUUAGGGUGUGUGUGUAUGCGUGUGUAAGGGUAUAGAAAAGUCAAGAAUGAUCUGAAAGGAUACGUGCUAGAUCUGAUAUGGUUAUUCCAGAAGGAUGUUCAUUUAGAGGGAGCAGUAUGUUUUUGCUGAAAGUUUGUACAAUUUGAAUUUUCAUGAGUGUGUAUUCCUUUCAUCAUUUUUUAAAAAAAGAAUUCACAUGGCACAAGUUGAACAAGCAUAGCUCACACAUGGUGACGGUCAAAUAGUGUCACCCAAAGCAUUGUUUUUCCAAGGCAAUUAUUAUAAGAGAGUCAGAUACAUGAAUCAUUGCAGAAAGAAAUCACUGCUAAAUGAUUGUUAAAUUGUUUUCCUGGUUAAAAGUGACUUAAACUGUUGAUAGAAGAUCAAACAGAAUUAAGACACUAGAUAUGUAUUUCUGUUGCAAGCAAACCACUCAAAUGAAUGGCUCAAAAAAUAACAUAUAUUUUACUCAUAGGUUUGUAGUUUGAUAGAGACACGGGAGGGCCAUUUUUUAGAUAUGAAAAUGGAAAUUUUAUUCUGAAUAUCAAUGUUGCUUUGCAAUUUUUAGUGAUCACCUUAAUUUAAAAUGUAGACAAAAAUGAGUCAGUCAUAAAGACUGGCACAACACUGUACAGUUUGGCAUUUUCUUUUUUUAAUUAAUUUUUUUAUUUAUAUAUGAUAGCAGAAUGCAUUAUAAUUCUUAUUACACAUAUACAGCAAAAUUUUUCAUAUCUCUGGUUGUAUACAAGUAUAUUGACACCAAUUUGUGUCUUCAUACAUGUACUUUGGAUAAUAAUGUCUAUCACAUUUCACCAUCCUUGCUAACCCCCGCCCCCUCCCUUUCCCUCCCACUCCUCUGCCCUAUCUAGAGUUCCUCUAUUCCUCCCAUGCUCCCCCUCCCUACCCCACUAGUUUCGCAUUCUACUUGACAUCACUGGAGUGACUAGAAGGCUGAAGCAUGGAAUCAUCUGCAACUAACACUCAUGUGUCUGAAGGUUGAUGGUGGCUGUUGGCUGGGACCACCUAGUGGUAGCCCUUCCAUGUGGCUGCUUGUCUUUCUCAAAAUAUGAUAGCUGAGUUUCAAUGGUGAGUGUUCCAAGAGAGAACCAGGUGGAAGUUCUACCAACUUUCAAGACCUAAUCUUAGAAGUCACCAAGCAUUACUUCUUCCACAUUCUGAUAGUGUAGACACAAAGCAUUCCCCAUAUUUAGGGAGAGGAAAAAGGACUCUACUUCUUAACAAGUUCUCUAAGUGGGGAGGCCAAGUGGAGAGGGCCAUGUGGAAUCAGAAAUAUUAAUGUGGCCAUUUUUUGGAAAAUAUAAACUGCUACAAUAAGUCCUUUCCUUUCUGAUGUUAUCCAUGUCCCAGAUCUGAAGUGAAAAUUUGAAAAUUAGCCAGAUUUCUGUUUCCAUAAGCAGAUGUGAGAAUUACAACUUCGUCUUUAUUCCACAAUCGAAUGCAUGAAUUGUGAGAGUUGUAAUUUCUUAUGUAAGAAACCAAAGAUUGUUUUUAAUUUAAUUAUAUUUUUAACAACUUUUUUUUAGUUGCAGUUGGACACAACACCUUUAUUUGUUUAUUUUUAUGUGAUGCUGAGGAUUGAACCCAGGGCCUUGAAUGUGCUAUGCGAGUGCUCUGCCGCUAAGCUACAACCCCAGCCCAUUCAAUUGUAUUUUUAACUGAUACAUAAAAACAUAAAAUAUUACAUGUUUAUGAGAUAAUGUGAUAUUUUGAUUCAUUUAUACAUUAUGUAAUGUUUAAGUCAGGUUGAACAUACCUGUCUUCUCCACCAUUUAUCAUUUCUUUAUGAUAAAAACAUUUAAACUCCUUCUAGCUUUUGAAAUAUAUAGUACAUUAUCAUUACUCAUUGUCAUCAUAUGGGGCAACAGUACACCAGGAUGUCUCAAUCCUACCUUUCUAUAACUUAGUGCCCAUUGAUCAACCUUUUCCCAUUCCUCCCUCCCCAGACCUAGGAAUUUUAAUAUUCUAGCAUUAUCUUUCUCAGGCCCACCACAGCCAUGAUUUUACAAUUAUAUUUCCUAUACCACCAAAUUUAUCUUAACCCAAAAGGCAAAUUGACACAUUCCAGGGAUAGGGAAAGUCUGCUGAUACCCAGUCUGAUGCAGAAGCAGGUAGGUUUGUACUCUGUUUUUGUUUCUCAGCUUGCUUUUCAAACAGAAAAAGAGAGCAUACAAUGAAAAUUCAUGGCUUAUGAAAAUGAAUGCUUUGUGAUGGAAUUUCAAAUAGUCCUCUUAGAUGUACAUGGUGUCCUUCUUAUCUACCAGCCUAUCUUUAUACAAGGUGGUGUCAAACUUAAGGUAUUGUUUGAGAGUCGGACACACUUCUCUUUUAUUCAUUUAUUGGGUUUGAAUCAAGGCAUUCAUUUGUAUCCCUGCUGUCCUUUCUUCCAACUGAGGUAAUAGGCAUAGACCAUUGUUAACAGGAGACUAAUCACUGAGUAUUUAUCGAUUACCUGUAAAGCUAUGCUCAAAGGAUUGUCAGAAAACAUCCAAUUAACGAGUUUACUAGGUUCAAAUUUCCUUUUAUUUUAUGGUGUGAAUUCUUAGCCCCAAACAAGCUAUAAAUUACACCUCCUGUGGGAUUCUAGCUUUAUAAAAUAUUAUUAUAAUUUUUUAUUUCUCUGAACAUAAGCAAACUCUCAUUUGAGAAGUUAGGUUGUUAUGUGACAGAAACCUUAAAAAGUAAGCUAUUUUGGUACAUUGAUCAUGUAAAACAAAUUUACUAUGUAGAAUAAAUAAAAGCAGGAGGAUUGCAAGUUAGAUGCCAACCUGGGCAAUUUAGUGUGACUCUGUCUCAAAAUAAAGAUUAAAAAGGAAUGAGAAUGUAGCUCAGGGGUUAAAUGCUUCCUUAGCAAGCAUGAAGUCCUGGGUUCAAUUCCUAGUAUGGAAAAACAAAAUCAAAGACAACUUAUUUUAAAAACCCAGUUUCACGCUGUCUUUGAAAAUGUGGGGAAAAAAAUGAUUUCUGUUCAUGGUUAUAUAAGUCAGUUAUAUUGAAUUUUAAUAAAGUUUUCCUCCCAAGUGUUUUCUGAGUAGACUGAAGAUUGAAACUUUGAGCAGUUCGCUUUUCCCAUAACUAGAGUGUCAAAAUAGCAAAAGGAGUACAUGGACAAGCCUGUAUAUUCCCUGAAAUUGACAGCAGAAAUGGAAUCCAAAUAUGGAGUGCCUGCAUGUAAAUAUGCAUCAACUAGAGAUAUUUUCCAGUGUUCCCAGCUCAGGCAUUUAAUUGUAAAAACUCAUCAGUUAAUACAGUCGACCUGGCUGUUCUUCAGCUUGCCUAGGGGAGACUUUAUAAAAUACAGUCUUGAGCCCCAUGCCACAAAGAUGCUGAGUCACAGGCCAAAUGUGAAGCAAGGAAAUCUAUAUUUUUCUAAAGUUCCCCUUAUAAUUCUGGGUAUCAGCCCAGUGUGGGAACAACUGAACUAGAACAUUUGCUAACCCUUAAAAUAAUUUUUGUGGUGUAAGAUGUUCUGCCUUGAUAGAAGUUUCUGUAGUUUAGGACAAAGUGAAAUGUUUGAAUUUCUAUCCUUGUUAUAUUUUACAAUAGGAUUGCAGAUUUACACUAAACUCUUAUAUAAUGACUCACUUUAUGUGACACAGCCAUAUCAAUGUUCAUAGCAGCUCAACUCACAAUAGCUAAAAUAUGGAACCAAAUUUGGUGCCCUUUAACAGACGAAUGGAUAAAGAAAAUGUGGUAUAUAUACACAAUGGAGUAUUAUCAGCCUUACAGAAGAAUGAAAUUAUGGCAUUUGCCGGUAAAUAGAUGGAGCUGCAGAAUCAUGCUAAGCCAAUCCCCAAAAUACAAAGGCUGAAUGUUUUCUUUGAUAUAUGGAUGCUAAUUCACAAUUGGGGGUAUAGGGGAGAAUAGAGUUACUUUGUAUUAGGUAGAGGGGAGGUGAAAGGAGGGGAGAGGGUAGGGAUAGUAGAAUGAAUCAAGCAUUAUUACCCUAUGUACAUAUGUGACUACAUGACCAGUGUGAUUCUACAUCAUGUAAACCAGAAUAUUGUCAAAAUUCAUUCUAUUGUCAUGUAUAACUAAUUAGAACAAAUUUUUAAAAAUUAGGAAAUGAAUUCUAGUUCAAAAAUCUCAUCAUUAUUUCCCUCUUGAGUUUUUGUUUUGACUGAAAUGUAUUUCACAUAUAAAUAUAUUAUGUUUCAUAAUAAUGAUAAUAAUUAUUGUGGUGAUUUGGUCAUGGUUUUUCUUUAAUAACCCCAGGCCCCUUGAACUAGACAUGAAACAAAUUAACCAUUACCCAUAAUUUGUAUAGUUAGACAUCCCUUGCAAAAGUGGAAAUUGUUGUAUAGAGCUACAAAAAAAAAAAAACAUAAUAAGAUGUCCCCAGGUAAAAGAGUAGAUAAAAGUUAUUUUCACAUAGUGGAAACUAAAUGAACAAAGUUACAGAUACUUGAAAUUGCAUGGCACAUCUAAGGAUCAUAAGUAGCUCGUGUAGCCAGGGUAUAAAAUAUCUGCAAACAUUCAUGGAUUGAACGAUUCAAACUUCAGCGAUGAGGGCAAAAAUUUCUCUCUUGGUUGGACACCCAAUCCCCUGGAGUGACUUUUUGAGGAAAUGUGUUAAGAUGGCUUCUGAAGCUAAAUCUGACUCUAGAGUUGUUUAAAGGUCAGAUGAGAGCAUAUAAGGGGGUGACAGGUUAUCAUCAGUACCACGUAUUUUUUCUCUCUAGUCCGUGUGAUGUAAAUUUUUAUAUGCAUUCUUGAUCUUAAUGUUUUCUUUCAUACACACUCUCUCUCUCUCUCUCUCUCUCUCUCUCUAUAUAUAUAUAUAUAUAUAUAUAUAUAUAUAUAUAUAUAUACAUACAUGUAUCUGUGUGUGUGUGUGAGUGUGUGUAUGUGUGUGUGUGUGUGUAUGUUUUCAAUAUCUUUGUCUGGCUUUUGGUUCUCAUUGUGCUAUCUUGGAAUAUAUGCUGAGAUCCUUGAAAAGUUUUUGCAAUGUUUAUUCUUUCUUUCUUUCUUUCUUUCUUUAUUUAUUUUAUUAGUUACACAUGACGGUACAGUGAUCUUGACAUAUCAUACGUUUGAAUCAAAUGGAAUUCUUUGCUUUUGGCUGUCCUCUUAAUUCUAUUUGUGAGCACUGUGGCAGGAUGGUGCUAGAAAUUAGUGAAGGGGCAAAAAACAUGAAAUACAUCCCCAGGUUCACUUCUGAGUUUCUGAAUCAGCCAUCAGGUCAAGGGAUGUCAGACUGAUGGACUGUCAAUCUGAUUUUCUGCACUCACAGAUUUCCAUUUGAAAGCUGAUGGGGCACUGGCGUAUUUUUCUCCACAAGAAAUAGAACUCAAGUGGAACCUAGAUCUUUUUUUCAGUUUUUACUAGGAAAGCACAUACUGAUUAUCAAAGCACUCACACUUUAUGUGCAUAUAUUGAUUCAUGUAGUAAGUUUUCAUUUUACUAGUUUCAGAAAGCCAAAUACUUUAAGUGGUUUAAGGUAAUUUUUUAAAUGUAUUUUUUACUUCUUUAAUAUAUAAUUUAAGUGAAGCCUUCUUUUGUUUUUGUCAUUGUAUUUUAUUUAUGUCUAGAAAUAUCAUUUGGGCAUAAUACCAGUCCAUAAAUACCAAUUGGAAGAUUUAAUUUUUUUCCCCACAAUUUUAUGUGUCAUCAAUUUUUUAAAAAAAUACUAAGUCAUUCUUUGGGUCACGUUGUCAUUUCUGUGAACACUUCAUGUGGCAUUUCUUGCCUGUUCCAUCUCCCACUUCCCCACUGCACCUCUAAAGCCUACCCCUAGCACCCAAAGGCUAUUAUUAAAUCUAUGUUGCUUCUUGGUCAUUUUAGAAUUGAGGACGAAUAGGAAGUGAAUGUUUGGAGGAUGGACAGCUCUCACUGACUUUGCAGAAUGGAAGGAAUGAGAACAUUGUUUGGCUAAAUAAGACAGAAAAAGAAAACCUUUGAAAUUUUCCAAACCAUUAUCUCCUUCUUCCCCUUCAGUUUGAAUGUGGCUGUGUAUGCCUGACACUUGGGAAUUUGAAAAGGCUUUUCUGCAAUGGCUAAAGUAGCAUGAAAAACCCUAUCAGGUGCCUUAAAAAUCACUUCAUCUCCAAGAUUUCAGAAUUAUUUUAGUGAGCUGAUGAAGUCAAUUAGUCAUCAGUGUUAGAGGGAAUGAUUUUCCUUUUACCUAGAGAUUAUAUUAAAUACAUUAGAAUUUUAGAAUAUUAAAUUUAAGGAAAAUUUUAAAUCUUGUCCAGCCAGAUCAAAGUCUUGGAUCUGGGGACUUUGUUCUCUAAGGGACAUUGUCCUCCUUCUAGCUUGUGUUCUGUUUAAUAACUCCUCAGCCUGAUGAUUAUGAGAAGUUCUUCGACACUUUCUGUUCAUUACUUUUGACCUUAAUAUAGCAGUAUUUAAGCCACCUGUGAUUUUAUAUUGCCAAUUUGUUUAGCAAAUUACAGGAGAUAUUUGAGGAUCAGGCAGACUCCAGUUCAAGCCUCAGUUCUGCUUCCUCUUAGCUUUCUGACUGGUCACAUUAUUUAACAUCUCUGAGCCUAUAUUCACUUAUUCAAACCAUUCAAAAAAUGAUCAGUGUAAAUGAUGUUCGUGCAUGUAGAACAUGGGAGCAGGAGCCAGGACUCGGAGCAGACGUUGCUGAGCAAAACAGACCCAGCUUCUGCUCUCAAAGAGCUCAGCUCAUGAGAAUACAUGAGAAUGAGUUGCCAAUGACAAAACCAAGAUGGUUCUGUGAUAGAGAUAACCCUGCCUUGGAGAAGGGGCAGCCUGGGCAGGCAAGCCUCUCAGAGUAACCACAUCCAUGCUGAGAUAAGAACAAUUAGUAGUUAGGAAAUAGUUGGGGUGCCUCCACUUGCUUUGCUGUAAAAUGGGGACAUAUCCACUUGAUGGAUUAUAGUAAGAAACAGAGACAAUGAGAGUGAUACACCAGGGCUGCAAAAAUCUUCCAAGUGGUAUUUAUAGACUGGUAUUAUGUCUAAAUAGCCAUUCAGUGUAGGGCCAGUAAGCACGAAUGGAGUAAGUACCACUCUAGGCAAUGGAGUUCAGAAAUGAGCAGGACACUAUCCCCAUCCUCCUGGAUCUCAGAAGCCAGAAGUCUAGCUCCCUGUGCAUUGCUAUUGUACUUGCUUGUUUAUGUGUCUGAAUCUCAAGACCAUUGGCUUAAUGCGGCCAGGAGAAUUUCCCUUUUGCUCUCCGGUGUAUCCUCAAUGCUCAGCAGUUCCUAGGGUCUACCUUUACCAGUUGUCUUUCCUCCUGCACUUGGUGUCUACUGUAUUUUCUUUCCCUCAACUUUUCAGUUUACACCUGCCAACUUUCAAAGGCCAGCACCUAUAAUUCGCCUUAAUGUUUUCUCUGGUUUCUGAGGCCCACUGAGCUCACAGAAGAGGGAGGGAGGCUAGAGGCCUGAGGGAAUUAAGCCUGAACCCCCAGCUGUUCUCAGUAGUGUCAGGUAGCAGGUGGUGGGUGGUACGUAGGCUUCCUGGCUCCUUGGGCGGAACAACUCCUCUGAGGUCUCCCAGUGGUAUUUAGCUCUAGUCAUUGAUAGUGAAAGCUUACCAUCCACAGGCUGUUUUCUCUCUGAUCUUACUUCUCUUGUUUCCUUUUCUCCCAUUUCCUGGGAUUUCCCUUCCCCCAAACUACUUAUACUUGAAUCCUUAUCUCAGCAUCUGCUCAAACUAAAAUACCCCCUCUGCAUUUAAAUCCCCAUCUGGUAUUUAGGGAAUGUUGCUUCCUAUGACAAGCCCAUCUCCCAUGAUGGGGACUGAAGCUGUCAUUUAACUUACAUAGCCACCUCUCCUUGAAGCCAGGGUUAGGCACAUCACCUGUACUGCAACAAUCAGAUGUAUCCAUGCCGGUCUCUAAGUUGGAAGCUAAUAUCAUAAAGAAGUAGGAAAUGCCCAGAAUUGAUUCGGUUGACAGAUGAUGGCAGAGACCACAAUUUUAAUGGUAGCUUCCAGAAUCUAGAGUCAAAAGCACCUGUGUACAACCCUUGACAUGAAGCAUGGUGGUGAUAGUGACUUCAUGGAAAAGUUCUGCUUGGGGAGUUUUUGGGGGCAGCGUUCUUCCUCUUUCUCUGCUACUGGUACCGUGGUCCUCUUAGAGAUUCUUAAAGCUUUCUGAUAUCUUUUGUAAUAAAUUUAUUUCCUGCUAAAAUGUCAGGGUUGGUUUCUAUAGCUUGUAACUAAGAAUUCUGUUUGUGUCCCAUCAGGAUCCAGCCAGGAAAAUAGCCCUCUAGGUCUUUUAAACAGAUGGGUAUAUAAUAUAGAUAGUUGGUUAAAAGGGUGAUGGGAAAUCUGAGAAUCCAGAAGGAGCCAUGAGGGGACCAAAGAUUAGUGACAAGUAGAAGAUGAUAUCUCCCUGGGGCUGGAAGAAUAGGGAAGAAAGCGUGUCAUUGGAGCCCAUUGUCUGACCCCCAGAAUCAUGACAGGACCUGUCUAGACAGGGUUGUAAAGUAACCAGAAGCUAACAGGUCAUUAGGGGAAGAGCCAGAAAUAGACCCCAAAGCCGACAGGCAUUUAGCAUGCACAUAUAAUAGGAGCUCAAAUACGUUUUUGGAAUAAAGAUUGCCGCAGUCUGGCUGGGCACAAAUGCCGCAGUCUGGCUGGGCACACAAUCACGAGCCACCACACAGCUUGUAGAUUCAAACAGCAACUCUUUAUUCCCGAACUCACACCAGCCGUCUACAAUCACGUUCUGGGGAAAUNCUCAAGGGGAACUCAGGCAGCAGGAUACGCCCUAUUCCCAGCAGGAAUAAUCUUAAACCUUAAACCUGGAACCUAAACUGGGAACGCCCUAAACACAAUUAUCUUAAAACCGGGAACACCCUAAUCUGCCUUGGUCCUUGAGCAAGGUCACGUACAUUCAAUGUCACUGCAACAUGGGGUACGCUGGCAAGGAAAUUGUCAUACCUACUUGGCUAAUGGCUCCCAGCAAAAGAUAAUCAGGAAGAGGGCUGGGACCAUCACCUUAUGUUAUACCAACUCUUAAGGGAUUGGGGAAUGAGAGGAUUUCCCCUAAGGAGAAGCAUUAGGGAGGGGACAAAAGUAGUGUCCUGGCUGCCACAGCUCAAAAGCAAUCAAAUCUGCCAGACUCCUAACUGGAUUUCCACCCACUAGAUCUCUGAAUUAUUCAUUGAGUCUAGACAGGAGACAGAACACUUAUCCAUGAGCUUUGGGUAUCACAGCUUCUAAUCCAGGCUAUUCCCUCGGUGACUUGGGUUAUUAAGUGAGGAUAACGGUGCUUGCCAAUUUUAGUUGGGCAAGGUGAGAAGCAAUGAAUAAAGAAGAUUUUUAAAUACUUGGCAAAACAGAAAAAUGUGUUGCAGCAGGAGUCUUAAUUGAUAAACUAGAAAUAAGCACAUUCACUCUCACGUUUGAAUCAUGAACUCUUCUACAUGGCUUACAGGGAUAAAGGGAUGCAUUGUUUUUAUUAGCUCUGGCUCUGCCUCACUGUGUGAGAGAAAACAAAGGUCUGUGUUUGGGGUUUAUCAGAAGGAACAUGGUAUAAAAGGAAGGGAAUAGAUUUUUUUCUUUCCUCAUUUAUUUUCACUUUUUAAAUUAUCAUUUACUCUUUUAACUUGACAAAUAAAAAUUGUAUGUAUUUAUGGUGUAUAAUAUAUUUGAAAUAGCUGUACCUUGUGGAAAGUCUCAAUCAAGAUAAUUAAAUCAAGAUAAUCAAAUACUAAUUUUUUGUGUGGUAGGAACACACCUGUACUCUCUUAUUCAUGUUUAAGUACACACAGCAUUGUGGUUAGCCACAGUCACCAUGUUGUGCAGGGGAUCUCUUGAACUUAUUCCUUCUGCCAAACUGAAAUGUAUGUUAUGGCCAAUGUCUCCCCAAACUCUCCUGCCUCUCCUCAGCCCCUGGUACCCACCCCUCUAAUCUGUGCUUCUGCAAGUUUGAGCUUUUUGGAUUCCAUUUAUAUGUGAGAUCACAUGAUAUUUGUCUUUAUAUGCUGGGCUUAUUCACUUUGCAUACAUUAUCCUUAUUGUGUUUCAAAUGACAGAAUUUCCUCUUUUUUUUUUUUUUUUUCCGAGGAUGGGGGUUGUCACCAGGGAUUGAAUUUAGGGCACUCAACCACUGAGCCACAUCCCCAGCCCUGUUUUUGUAUUUUAUUUAGAGAUAGGGUCUCAUUGAAUUGCUUAGUGCCUUCAAAUUGCUGAGGCUGGCUUUAGAACUCAGGAUCCUCCUGCCUCAGCGUUCUGAGCCACUGGGAUUACAGGUGUGCACCACACCCCUUGGCCUUCCAUCUCUUUUUUUUUUUUUUUUUUUUGAGACUGAGUAUCUUUCUACCAUGUAUAUGUGCCACACUUUUUUAUCCACUUGUCUGUUGAUGAACUCUUAGGUAGAUUCCAUCUCUUGGUUAUUGUGAACAAUGUUGUGAUGAACACAAGAGUGCAGAUAUCAAAAUCAGCAUAGAUUUAAGAUUCAGAAAGAUUUCAUGUUCAUUUCAGCUCUACUACUUAUUCGCCUGGUGAUUUAGACAUAUUGUAAACUGAUUUUCAUUUUUUUCAUGUUUAAAAUGAAUAUCAUAAUAAUGCCUUGCUUAGAAUUAUGAAAAAAUUUUGUGAUUGUGUAAUCAAAGUAAAACAAUGCUCAGCACAGGACGGCACUUGGCAAAAUAGAAAAUAAAUAUCUGCUUCCUUCCUCAGUCUCCUUUGCUUUUUACAAUAACUCUAACCUAGGGGAGAAAAGUGAGAACAUAAACCAAAAUAUUUUUCUAGGAAAACUGGCUAACAUGAAUUGAAACUAAGAAACUAAGCCCCAAAACUCAGUGCUCCUGCUUAUUGUUGAAAGCAUCAAAAUUCAUGGGAACUAUACAUUUAAGACAAUUUACUCAUAAUUUCACAUGAAAAAAAAAAAUUCAUCUACAUUUAUUUUGCUUCUUACAAAAGCUUCACUUUCUAUCACCAUCAAUGUGCAUUAGCUUAUAUUUUGCAGGAUCUGAUUCUCAGGUAGUUUCUUCAUGUUUCUGUGUCCCAAGCCAGGUGUCCCUGGGACUUUUUCAUAUUGCUUCUUCUGAACACAGCUGGAAACAUGAUCAUCUCCAGGCCCAGCACCAGAGGCCUUGGCCUCUGCUAAGGGUUGGCAGUAACAAGAAGAGUGUUGUCAUGUUACAAUAAACAACACCAAGACCCCUGGGUCUCCCUCUGGAUUUCUGGAGCAGCUGUCUCUAGUUUUGUUAUUGAAAUUUCAGCUCUUUCAUUGAAAUCCAAACACAUCUGUCCCCCAGGCAGGGAAGUGCCUAACGAAGGGGCUUCCUCCAAGCCAGCUGAUCUUGUGGCUUAAGACAGUGUGGGCCCUGAGUACCUCCAACCCGCCUGCCUAGGGAUGAGCACCCGCCCUGGUGAUGAAUCACUGAUAGAGAAAAGUGCUUUUGACACUGAGUGUUCACAGUCAUCGGGAUGUUUACAGCUGGGCUUGGCUUUGAAUGGGCACAGGGGACUCAGGCACAAUCAGACUCCCUUCAGCUUUAUCCUCACAUGGACAACUUGUAUGUCUUCUCUCUCAUCCUUCGGAUUGUUCUUUGGCAGACUCCAUUUAAUUUCAGAGAACAGCAGAGGUAUUUGUUCCUUUAUUUAUAUGUCAGUUGCCUGCUUUUAAAUAUCUGUUUUGUAUCAGGACUGGACUUCCUACUUCAAAAGUAUAAUAAUUUCAGACCAAAAUUUAUUUUUUGUCUUUUUUCUUUAAAGAUUGAUUGUAUUAUUAAGGCAAUUUAACUCAUGUUUAGGUGAUAGAAGUAAAAAAAAAAAAACAGAAUAGAAAAAAAAGUUUCCCUUCCUCAUAAUUAGGCUUUGCCUCCGGGUCCCUUUUCCAUACAGGAAGGAAAACUUCAAAGGAAACGGGGAGCUGUGUUAUGGGCCUAUGAAAUGGAAUACUUGAAGAGGGCAGUUCUUCACUUCCUGGGAUUAUUUCUCAGUAGUGCAGACUCCUUGGUGGACAGAUAGUUCCACCAACCCUGACCUUGAGACCUCUAUUGGAACUUUUUGCUCUGGAAAUACUGCAGGAACACCUGAUCUUCCCAUAUCCAUACUUUCUUCUUUAUUAUUUUAUUCAUUAUUUGGCAACCAAAUGACCACAAUUAGCCAAGUUCUGCUCUUUCAGCACAAACUUCAAACAUAUUUAGCUAUUCUUUUAACAUGUAAUCCCACAUUCUAAAUAGAAUGCUACCUCUAUUCACUUCCUCUUAGGCUAGAUAAAGAUUUCUCUCUUACAUUCUUGGACCCUUCUUGCCUUUUCCAGCUUGUCUGCAUUUUAAUUUUCAGUAUUAUGUUAUUCUGACAAUGGAAAUAUUUACUAUUGAGCCAAGAGACAUGCUACGAUUACAACUCUUUUCUUUUUCAAUUAUUAUUUUUCCAAGAACUGAUAAUUUUCUUAUUUAAAAAAUGUACUCUGUUUUCUCCGUAUAUGUUACAUUAUUUCUGCUUUUGCAACUGCCCAUAAUAUUCAGCAUAUUAAAUAUAGUGAUGUAUUUAGUUAAUCUCUGAAGUUAACUCUAUAAUGUGUAGUUUAUAGAUGGGAAACACCAGCACAGAGCAGUGCACUGGCUCAUAUAAGAUCAUAAAAGCAGGACUGGAACUAGAAUGUAUGGCACCCAAACUGUGGCUUCUGCAUUAAUGCUCCCAAGUACAAGCAAUAUGUCUACACUAGUGAAUGUACUAGAUAAUUCAAUCAGUUGGGGUUUGUUUGUUUCUUUAUUUUUGGCACUGGGGAUUGAACCUAGGGGUGCUUAACCACUGAGUAACAUCUUCAGCUCUUUUUAUUUUGAGACAGGGUCUCACUAAGUUACAUAGAACCUUGCUAAUUUGCUGAGGCUGGCCUUGAAUUUGUGAUCCUCUGGACUCAGCUUCUUUAGAGGCUGGGAUUAUGUGUUCACCACUGAACCCAUUUUUUGUUUGUUUGUUUGUUUUGAGAGAGAGAACCUUUCUCCUGCUUGUCUCUGCCCUUGGGUUAUAUCUGGAUAGCUUGUUUUCUAAUCCUUAGCACCUUUAUCCUCCUAAGACUUAUUUUCAUUAUUGUGCAGGGUAUUUCUUUCAUCUUCCUCCUGUGCUGAUUCCUUGCCUUCUAGAUAACAUUUCUUCUUUCCUGAUUUAUCUUAUUGCUCACUUCAGGUGAGGUUCAUCUUGUAGAAACUUCUUGAGAAGUGGUGCAUGGAUGGCAAUGUGUUUUUGGAUCUCAAAUGUCAGAAAAUGUUUGUAUUCUCCAUUGAUAGCCCUAGUGAGGUAUUCACUGCCAUUCUUAUAACUUGACCAUUUAUACAUAAAUGUACUCCACUCUCUGUGUGUGUUUUCUCACCUCUUGCAACAGCCCAUACUACUCAAGGCACUGUUUUCAGCACAUUAAAUGGUGCUGAAAUUUAAUGUUUCCUUUCUUGAAAACUCUUAUUUCUCCCUGGUGUACUGCAAGUUUACAGAAAUGAUGGGUCUUUUCUCCUUUAUUAUGUUGGUGCUCGAUAGGACUUUUCAAUUUGGAGACUUAUGUGCUUCAGAAAAAUGUUUCUGUGAUUGUGCUUUUUACAUUCUUCUCUUUCUGAAUCUUAUUGGUAAGAUGUUGGAAUUCCUGCAUUGGCCCUCUAGUCUCAUCUCUUCUACUUCUUAAAAAAAAUAUUAUGAGACGUUUUCUUAGUUGUAUUUCCCAAAUUUUACACACACACACACACACACUUCAGCUAUCAUAUUAAAUUUCUAAACACCCUCACUUUUUUCUAAUAAUAAUCUCUGCUUAUUCCUUUUUCUUAAUAGCAUCUUAACCUUAUUUUAAGGGUAGGUAAUUCAUCUUAUUUCUCUGAGGUCAUUGGGUAAAGUUUGAUUACAGUUUUCUUUUUUCUGGUGGUGGUGGUGGUGGUGGUGGUGGUGGUGUGUGUGUGUGUGUGUGUCCUUUCUUCUGCGUUGGUUGAUGUUUGUAUCUCUUAUGUUAAAGGCUUUCCUUACAUGUCCCAUUGUCCUAGGCUGUCUGUUCAUAUUUUCACAGUUAGGUUUUAAAAUGCUGAUAGAAGUUGGGAAUGGUGGCACAUGCCUGUCAUCCCAGCAACUCAGGAGGCUGAGGCAGCCUCAGCAAUUUAGUGAGGCCCUAAGCAAUUUAGCAAACCCUGUCUCAAAAUAAAAAUAAAAAGGACUGGGGAUGUGGCUCAGUUUAGCAAACCCUGUCUCAAAAUAAAAAUAAAAAGGGCUGGGGAUGUGGCUCAGUGGUAAAAUGCUCCUGGAUUCAAUCUCCCUGGUACCAAAACAAACAAACAAACAAAAUUGCUGAUAGAAUUUCUAUGCACUUGGCUUGUCCACUCUAAGGUACACUGCAGAAUAUUUGGGUAAGGAAUUGUUAUUUAUUUAUUUAUUUAUUUAUUUUUUAGCUUUUAGGUGGACACGAUAUCUUUAUUUUACACUUAUGUGGUGCUGAAGAUCAAACCCAGUGCCUUGUGCAUGCUAGGAGGAAUUGGUUUUUUAAUUCAGAAAUUCCUAAACAUUAGUAACUAUAGGUCUUUUCUCUAGGAACAUGAGGUACUUUUUUUGUAUGCAUUUCAUAAAAGAUUGGAUAAGAUUUAGACAUAUUAUAUCAUAGCAAUACAAACCACUUAAAAUUUAAUGUUAUAGAUACUUUGAUUCCUAGGACUCUGCUAUCUCUAUAAUAGCGGCUCUAUCUCCUGGUCAUAUUAGUUUGCAUUGUCAUCUGUCUCCUUUUCUCUCCCCACUACUGUACUGUUUUUCACUUUUUUUAAAAUGUUAUUUGCUCUAGGCCUUGCUGGUGUUUUUUUUUUUUUUUUUACUCUAAUUUGUUGUAUAUGACAGCAGAAUGCAUUACAAUUCAUAUUAUACAUACAGAGCACAAUUUUUCAUAUCUCUGGUUGUAUACAUAGUAUAUUCACACCAUUUGUGUCUUCAUACAUGUUUUUAGGAUAAUGAUGUCCAUCUCAUUCCACCAUCUUUUUUACCCCCUUGCAACUCUCUUCCCCUCCCUCCCCUUUGCCCUAUCUAGAGUUCAUCUAAUCUUCCCACACUUCCCUCUAGGUUCAUGCUGACUCAUUUCCUCUUUUCACACCUACCUGAUCUCUUCAUCUGACUCCAACCAGUCCGUUUUUAUAUGCUGAUGACUCUCAGGUCUUCACUUUUCAUUCUGUUUUACCUCCAAAAUUUCUAACUUUAGUUGCCUACUUGACAUCUUCAGGUGGAUGUUCAGUGGUAACUAACACUUUGUGUGACAAUUAUGGAACUGUUAAUUCCUUUCUAUUAUCACACACCAUAACUAGUGCUUACAUACUUCUUUCUUUCCACUUGCUCAAGCCAAGAAUCCUCUCUUUCACUUAACCCACACAAGCUAUUUAUCUACAAAUACUCUUGAACCUGCCUUCAAUCAGAUCUUAAAUGCAUCCACUUCUCUGCAUUUCCAUGACUACUACCUUUUUUUGUUUUUAUUUCUGGUACUGGGUAUUGAACUCAGGGGCAUUCGACUACUGAGCCACAUCUCCAGCCCUAAUUUGUAUUUUAUUUAGAGACACGGUCUCAUUGAGUUGCUUAGUGUCUCACUUUUGCUGAGGCUGGCUUUGAACUUGUGAUCCUCCUGCCUCAGCCUCCUGAGCCUCUGGGAUGACAGGCAUGUGUCACAGCACCCAGCUCCAUGACUAGUACUUUAACAAAGAUAUCAUGAUAUUUCUCCUGGUUAUUGCAAUUGCUUCUUACCCGGUAUCUCUGCUUCUAGUCUUCUAUGUAGCAACCCGAACAAAUUUUAGAAGUGUAAGACAUAUCAUGUCUUCAUCAAAUAUUUGCAAAAUUCUCUGUCACCCCAUUCCCCAUAUCUCUAUGGCUUGCAGGGCCGUCUGUGCUCUGGGUCUAUUAAACCUUCAUUGUGUUCCUCAAACACCAAGCUCAUGUCCUCCUUAUGCCUUUGAAUCAGUUCUUCUUCUGGCUAGAAAAAUCUUCUCUCAUAUCUUCACUUGUGGCCUUAUUCUUUCCUAUAUUCUUGCUUCUUCUAAAAUGUCACCUCCUCUGAGAGUCUUUCCCUGGGCUCCUGCAGAGUGCCUUCUCAGUCACUUUCUUUCCUAAAAGCCUAAGAGCACAAGGGUAGUGGGCUGGCUACUUGGCCUAUUGCUUUAAAUUUUUUCAUGGUUAUACUGGCCUCAAAUAGAUGACAUAGCAACCUUCUUUAGUUCUACUCUUGGUUCCACCAGUUUGAUCAGUUUAUUGUCUCACGAGGCCAGAGAUGAUCAGUCAUUGACACUAUCACACUUGAGGGUGCUAUGAGCCAAAGCCAAGCCUACGUUCUCCUGUGUCAGUUGUCAGACACUGGUCAUUUGCAUCCUGGAGUGGUUAUAUAAGCUUUGUUCAUAGUCUUUGAGAACUCAUAUUUUGGUCAUUCUCACCUGUGACCAAUGAAUAUCCACCUUUUUGCCAAACCACAUAUUUGAUUGUGUUCAUGCUACAAAUCUGUUUUGUUUAUGUUGCACUAGCCCAGUUUACAAAAUACUUAUGGUUUGGUAGAAAGAGUUUAGUUUUAGAAACAUGUCUUUUCUUGAAUGUCUGUCAUUCACAUCUUUAGCAAGACCUUAACACGCUAAGCCUCAAUUUUGUCAAGUACUUAGCUUUCCUAAAACAAAAAACUCUCCCCUCUUCUCCUCUCCUCUCCUUCCUCCUCUUCCUCCCCUCCUUUUCUUCCUCCUCUUUUUCUUCUCCUUCUUCCUCCUCCUCUCCUCCUCCUCCUCCUCUUCUUUUUCUUCUUCUUAUUCUCUCUCUCUCUCUCUUUCUCCUCUCUUUCUCUCUCAGGGAUAAUACAUAUAAAAAUCCUCUUUAGAAGAGUGAUAGAUUAUAUUAACUCAUGAAUAUGAUAAUAUUUUUGCAAAGUUUAAAAUACAUUAUAAAUAGAAGGGGUUAAAUGUAAGGUUGUGGUCACACUGAUAAUGCCUGAAGUAUAUAGCCCUCAGUUAUUAUUGUCACUUUUAAAGUCUCUUUUAUGUACCAAACUUGCAGAACAACUAUCUUCUUAUCUAGUAUAUGUUUGAAUAAUUAUUUUAAUUACUUAUUUAAAUAAAAGUAUUGUAUUCACUAAAACCAGUCCCAACAGUAUGACAUAAAAAUUAAAAGUCUACCUUCAUCACACAGCUAGAAACAAGCAUUUGAACUUAGGCAAUGUGGCUCCACAGUCCAUGCUCUUAGUCAUGACAAUAAAACAUGCCUUAGCCACCUGUCCAUGUGAGAAUGGACAGAGCUCUGCCUAACUUUAGCACCUAUACUACCUCCUAUUUUAUGUCUCUUAAUGUAUUUACCAGUUCCCUAUGGAGGAGAAUUUUUAUAUCUCCUAGGUUUUUCAUUAUUAAAAUUAAAUGGCAAAAAGUAAAAAAUUAAACUGCAUAGACAACAUGGAGCUUUUUGUGUAACUUUCUAAAAGUGUAUAGCUGUUGUAUAUGGACACCAAACUUUUUGAAUGAUACCACCAAAUUGUCUUCUACCAUGAAUAAUGAUUUUCCUUGAAGUCUAUUAACUACUAGAAGCAGGACCUGUGAUUUCUAUAUGUCUCCAUUUUAUUUUGUGUUUUCUCUCUCUCUCUCUCUCUCUCUCUCUCUCUCUCUCUCUCUCUCUCUCUCUCUCUCUCUUUGAUGGCUCUGCACUUUGGCAAGGAAUUUUACCACAUGGCAAAGACAGCAUUUUGGGAACAUUGCUCCUAUUUCUAUGAGGUACAUCUCUGCACUUGAGCAUGGGAUAAGCUGGCAUUUGGUAACUUCUCUGCGUAUGCUACCUGGUACCCUGAGACUCUGGAAAAGUUUCUGUGAGGUUCUUCAACCUGAGAUUCAUUCUGGCAGAUUUAAUGGCUCUUAAACAUUUACCCAGCCAGAACCUCUAAACCAAGGUUUCACUUUUUAGUACUGUAGGGAUAGUGGGAUGAGAGAACUGUGGUGAGUGAAACUCCAGGGAGAUGUAAUGCCACCCCUGCCUCAUCCUGGCAAACUUCUUAAGAAAUUGAAUGUAUCACUUGUUUCCAGUUUAAGGUCUCUUUUCUAUCACUGUGUUUUUUGUUUUGUUUUGUUUUUAGCUCAUUGGUACAUUGAUGAAAGGAAAUCAUCAAGGUUAUUCAAACAACUACUGCCUCGUUCAUGAAGUUUUGUUUUUUAAGGGACAUAUUGAAUAAGAUUAUGGUGCCUGUGUCUGAGAAACUUGCAGUCUUCUCCAGCUUUUCUGGAAAUGAAGGAUGGAGAAAAUGGCUUCAGCUUAAAUAGAAGAGAAUUAAAACAGUGAGGAAGGUCAUAAUUAUAUUACCUAAGUUUAUAGAUGAGAACAAUAGAGCUAAGAGAAAUGAAAUGACUUGCCAUAAAUCUAUUCUGAUCACAAAAUUCAACUCAAAUCUGGCUCUAUUUACAGGGCACUCUCUCUUGUGACAGUCAGCAUUCUCCAAACCUGACAGAUACAGGUUUCCAGUUCCUUUUACAGGGAAUGUGGCAUCUUUCCAUAUGCCUCAGGUAUAUAGAAAUGCUGGAUAAACUAUUACAAAGCUAUUUUGCAAAGGUAUCCAGAAAAGAUAGAGAAUUGGGGAGAGUUGUGUGUGUCAGGGGUGGGGGCGGUGGUUGUGGAGACCAAGAGGUAGAGAAGAAAGGAGGAAGGAAGGGUGGUCUUCCCUAAUAACAGAUCUUUUUAGCCAGUGGAAUUUGGGGCACAAAUUUUCUACUUUCAUACUUUCUCAUAGUUUACUAAUUUUAUAUUUAGAAGAAAUAAAAGUAAAUUAAUUUUUUAAAUAUAAAAUUGAACUUAUUAAAUUAAUUACAUCUCUUUGUUUCAUCUUGAAUAACUCUUUGCUGUGUGGAGUAUCCAAAGGAAAUCCUAAAACUAAGUUCCUGGGCUCCAACCAAGCCAUCACAUUAGGUACAUUUACACAAAAUAUUCCUAUUGAAUUUACAAUUUCAAUCAGUGAUUGCAUCCAGCAGAGAGCUGGGCAGGUUAUCUUCACUCAGUCUGGCAUCUUGAUCUCCAAAGGGGACAGGGGGCUGCUGUGAGAUCCUGGCAGGGCUUUCAGACUAUCAGCAUUAGCUCUUUGGCUUGAAGUCCCUCACAUAUGCUUGGCCUUUCCGCUUUCAAGCAGAGUCUCCUUGCCUGCACCAGGCUGGGUAUUGGCAGGUGGUCUACUGGCCCCAGAAGCUUUCUGCAUGAAUUACUGUGUAUGGUUUCUGCACACUGAAACUUGGCAUGCGUGGUGACCAUGCACAUGUGUGUGCGCGCACACACACACACGCACACAUACACACACACACACACUCUUCUCCUGUCCCCUCUGCCCUAUACUCUGUGUUCCAUUAGAAGCCAUCUAGAGUCUUAGGGUGAAUGUUGGGUCAAACCCAGGCUUCUCUCAGAGAAUCACCUACUUUCCAUUACAAGUUACCAUACUCCACCCCUUUUUUCAGAUAAAGCUUCUGUUCUAGUACUUUUCCAAUUUCUAGGCUUCUUUUAUACAUUUCUGGCUUCUUUGUCCAGUCCUGACUUCAAACAGCCACAUGAAUGAGUCAAUCUUGUCAUUCCAUGGCCCUAGAAUAUUCUGUAGCUUCUAUCACAUUCAAGAUAGUGUAUGUACUCCCCAGAUGGCAAGCAAGGUCCUUACCUACUCAGACCUCAUCUUCUCCACACAUUUCCUGUCUUCCUCUAUUGCUCCACCACAAGGCGCAGGAUGUGACCUGCUUUCUCAUGUACCACAUGAUGGUCCCUCUGUGUUCUUCACUUUGUCCCCUGGCCAAUAGUUUCUUAUCCUUCCAAAAUCAAUUUGAGUGUAACCUCCAUACAGUGUGAAAAUGUAUCUAGUUAUAUAUUUGUGUACAUAUCUUUAUCUUUUUUUAGAGAGAGAGGCAGAGAGAGAGACAGAGAGAAUUUUAAUAUUUAUUUUUUAGUUAUAGGCGGACACAACAUCUUUGUUUGUAUGUGGUGCUGAGGAUCGAACCCGGGCCGCACGCAUGCCAGGUGAGCGUGCUACCGCUUGAGCCACAUCCCCAGCCCCUAUCUUUAUGUUAUACUUCAAUAAAAGUUUUAAUUAAAAAAGUUCCCUUUGUGAAGCAUAUUUUUCUGUGGUAUUUAGGACAGAAAUAGAGAGCAUAGGUUUGACUCAAGUGAACUUUUGGUUUGGUGAAUGCUCUUUUCACUCUGAGCAUGGUGUCAGAGGACAAAAUGAAAAAAAAAAAACUCCUUGAACUGAGUUUAGUGUUUGCUUUAAGAAAUAAGAUAAUUAUAUAAGUAGGUGUUAUUUGAGUAUCUGAGAAGUUUGAUUUCUCAGCUUAAAUUCUGGCAAGCUCAAAUAAUUUUGGCAUAAGUCAGAGUAUAAAUAAACAAAUCAGAAUUGGAAUUUCACUCUUAGCUGGUUAUCUUCAUCCUUCAGCUUUUGAGGCUUCUGUCAACAAUGGACAUAAACUUACUGGCCUGUGCACAUCAAUCAAAUCUUCCACAGACCUUGUUGGUUCACAUUUCACCACUACAGUUUUAAAUUGAUCUUCCUCUUUGGUAUAAGGAUUAUUAUUAAUUAUCUAAAUGAACAUCUUUGAACCUUUUCCUCCAAAUAUUUAAUGUUCUAGAAAUAUCAGACUAUGAAACAUUUUAAAAACAAUACAUUUUCUUCUCUUUAAACAGGGUGGAGGAACCUGGGAACCUGACCUUUGAAUAUCAUCAGCCAUAUUGGCCACUGCCAUGUAGAGCCUGCAUCUUGGAACCAGUCUAGUCAUCGCUGCAAGAACUCACCAGAUUUCUCUCUCACGUUCCCUAAUAAAGGGCUUUUAGUCUCUGCACAGAUGGGAAUUCUGCUUCCCCCCUUCUCAUUUCACACUUCCUGUACUUUCUUUGCUAAGUAUUCAACUUCCCAAAAUAGAACACAGUUGUUUGAAUCUGUGUGAAGGAAUUUCAUUGGAGAGUAGACAAGGUAUCUGUAGCUCCCAAUAAUUACCACACCUGAGUUAAUUUUCUUAUUGGUUAUAAAACAGAUAAAGGAUACAGAAGAGGGCUCAGAGGCCUCUCAAAGAACAGCAUUGGGUUUUCUUUCAUGAGAGGACCCAUGAUGGAGCAGGGCAUUAAUGCCAAAGUGUGAACAAUGAGGAAGGAGAGGACAGGAAAUUUUGUCUGGUCAGCCACCCACUGGUUUCCUUUAUGAAUCUCAUAUUCUCAUGAGGUCUUCUUCUGAUUGUAUCUCCCCUUCCUCUCUACCUUAUUUCAUUGAGCUUCCAUAUUCCUUUCUGCCUAAAUGAAUUCUCUUCAUCCUUCAAGGUCUAGUUCAAAUCUAACCUCUGCUGGGAAGACUUCCUGGAACUCUUGACCUAGAAGUGAUUUCCCUGUUGUGUGAGUACUUAGAGCUCCUAAUGACUGUAUUUUCUGAACAAAGGUAAUUUACAGUAGUAAUAGCUAAUGAAAUAACUGAUAUCAACUCUUUUUCAUGACACAGGGUUCAGGGCCUUUCAUUUGGUAAUUACUCAACUCAGUAUUUGUCCAUUUACUUAAGUGCUUAAUGGAACUUGAGGCCAUGAAAACAGAAUUUAAGAAACUUUUCUGACAGUUGGAUAUGCUGCUUUUAUACUUCUGCAAUGAAGUGGAUAAGAUUGAUAAAAAUCAGCAUAACAGAAACAAAUCUUGAGCUGGUAUGUACUAUAUGCCAGGUGUUGUGGUAAAUGAUGUACAUUCAUUAUCUCUCUUGAUCUCAGCUUUUCACCUCAAAAGUAUCAGAGAGAGAGGUUACAAAAUGCUUGCAAUAGGAUCAUAUAAAUAGAUGAAAGUAUCAUAGCAAAGGGAAUACAAAUGAAGUAAGUCAGAUAAAAUCCUGGGUUCAGUCAUUACUCAAAAAUACAUGCCGUUAUUAUCAGCUAUUUCAUUGCUGUGACCAAAAGACCUGAUAAGAACAAUUUUAGAGGAGGAAAAGUUAUUUUAGAGCUCAUGGUUUCAGUGGUCUCAAUGCAUAGAUGAUUGUUUCCAUUGCUCUGGACCCCAGGUGAAGCAGAAAAGUGUGGUGGAGGAAAGUAGCUAAGGACAUCUCACCAGGAAGCAGAGAGAGAGAGAUACCCUUCACCACUGACAAACAUAUAAACCCCAAAUGCACACCCCUAAUGACCCACCUCCUCCUGCCAUACCCUACUGGCCUACAGUUACCACCCAGCUAAUCUCUAUCCAGGGGAGUACUAUACUGAUUAGGUUAAGGAUCUUAUAAUCCCAAUCAUUUCACCUCUAAACCUUCUUGUAUUGUCUCACAUAUGAGCUUCUGGGGAAUACUUCAUACCCAAACCACAACACAUGUGCUAUAUACUUUUACUUGGAGAUGAGGUACAAAUUUGGCUCUAAGCUUCCUAGUGUUUAGAGUAAAAAUUGACACACCAUCAAUUAAAGCACACACAUACUUUAAGACACCAACUGGCUCUUUAAAUGUAGCACCAUAUAUGUUGCAUCAAACUCUUUCUUAUUACAGUUCUUAGCAUAGGCCAAUGCCAUCUUGAUGAAGAGCAGAAUGGCAAAGUCCUUUCUAAAGGAGGUGGUAAACUAUUGGGUCUAGGUAUGCAGGUGAAAUUGGUUUAACAUACACAAGAGUCAGAAGAACUGUGCACAUUUCAGGAAAUUCUCUAUGGAUGUUGUUUUUUACAACCACAAGUCCCUGCUAUCUGUCCCAGAUAAUUAUUCUCUUACCUUCAACUAAAAGCUACAUGGGUCAUAGUACAGCACCUAUUAACACCUAUAGAACUAACAUGCUCAGGAAUAGCCUUUGGAAAACUCAGUUCUAUAGGCAAAUUGGAGCUUCAAGCAUUGAUUUUUCCAGUGGGGAAAAUGAAAUUCAAAUUCCUUUGCAUGAUUUAUAAUGCUUUUGACAACCCAACCUCAACCUGCUUUUCCAGAUCUAAUUUAUUGUCCCCUUUUCAGCAUCUUCAUGCUUCAUUCCCACCAGUCUGUAGAGAGCCAUGCACGUACUCAGUGCUUUCACUCACCGAGACCUCAUAGAUGCCUCCUAGAAUUCCCCCUCCUCUCCCACUUCUUUCCUGGCUUCUCUGCCUAGAGGAUCUCAAAGGAUGUCACCUUUCCUGUGAACCCUGCCCGAUUCCAUUGAACAAUCAAUCUUACUCAUUACUGGAUUCCCAAAGAAACUUGCUUAUAUCACAUUUUAUUAUCCUCUUUUGUGUGCUUCUCUGAUUUUUCUGCCAAACUGUGAGUUCCUCCAGGGUAGAAUGUGUCUUAUUUAUCUUAGUAACCUAGCACUGGGAACAUAGUCUGACCUGAAUUUAUUUCACCUAAUAUUUAUUGAGUGCUUCCUGUACUGACAAAGCAAGUUGGGACAAUUCCCAUCCUCUGAUGCUAACUAAAAAAUCAUGAGCUGUUCCACAGGUGACCUAAAUAUGUUUCCAUACUCUCUGAAACAAUGUAGAUGGAUUGCUCAAUAUGGCUCAAUAUAAGAAAGGUUGGCCCAGUAAAGAGGCUGAAUCACAGACUGUUUCCACGGAAUUCUUUUCUCCCUAACAGUGUUUCCCAGAUUUGAAAAGCUCUAAAGGAAGCUUUUCUUGUAUGUUGUCAUUUAUUUCAAGUGUCUUCUUUUAUUUGUGUAGCAUCUGUCAUACCAAAGAACUUUGUAAAAUUAUAUUUGGCAUGUGGAUGCUUUACUUUAUCCAACAACAUAGCAUACCGUCCUAAUAAGUAAAACAGAGUAACUAUCCCAGGAGACCUUGGUAUAUUACAGCAGACCUAAGAGUAGAGUCAGGAAAAAAAAAAACAAAAAACUAGCUUUCUCCUUAAUAGCCUGACAUGCACAGGACAUUUAAGAACUAAAUUACUAUAUUUAAUUGUCAUUGAAAGGACCUAUUUGGAUGGAGGUCACAGAAAUGUGCAGAUCUGAUCUUGGACUUCCAGAGCUUUUAAUCAUUCAUUCAUCACAAAAUGUCAUAUUAUACACAUUUAGAGCCAUAAAAGCACUGCAAAUGUGAAAACUUUGCACAGAGUUUCAAAAUGUGUUGAGCAACAGAAACACUUUUGAUACAGAAAUUGAAAACAGUAUUUAAAAAGUUUCUUUGGGUAAAAUUGUUUCUGGUUGUACAUUAGCCAAUCCAACAAAGUUAAUGUCUUGAGGGGAAGAGGGGACAAAUCUUGAGGAAGGAAUAUUAUUAUUUUGUAAGGCAUCUUGCUGAAGAGAUGCCUCUACAGUAUUUUUAGGCAAAAAGUAGUGGGCCACUUCAACAAGCCCAGAAAGUUUAAGGAUUAUGAGGACUUUGGUUUCUCAAAUUCUGCCACCUACAUUUCCUCAGUCCAUGUCUUAGGGUCCUAUUUUUUCCCUGUCAAGGCCUUGAUUUGACUAUGAGAUCUAAUAGGGCUUCCCUUCUCUGCAAUUUGACUCUCAUAAGCAGGUCCUGGGCCUAAUCUGCUUUCUUCUUAGUACUCAAGGGUCUCUGAGUGCUGUCGGAGAGGGCUUUUUAUUGGAAUAUUAUGCUCUGAAUUAAUGGUUGGUUAGGUUAAGCGUGCAAACUCCACAACCCUUAUAAUUACCAUUGGUACCCCAUCUCUCUAGUGUUGGUGAGUUUGUGGAUGACAAUAUCCUAUCCCUUUUCCCCUCUGGUGAGUUUCCUUGUAAUUUUUGAGGUAGCAGCAUGUCCCUCCUUUAAUGGUGUUCAUCCCUGGGUAGCUUAAGAGUUCAUUUUCCAGAAACAUCUGCUAUAACUUAAUAAUUAAAAUAAUUUUACCUCAAAUUCAAGACAAAAUACCAACAAAUACAGAAGCCAGAAUUCCUAGAUGUAUGUCAAUUUGCUUGUAUUUUACAAACUGAAUGAUACUAGUAAUGACUAAAGAAAUUCCAUGUAGAUUCCAGUGUGCAACAAAGGUGAAGAGCGUCUUAAUCCAGUGCUACUGUUAAAAAUAUUAUGUUUUUUUUUUGCCAUCGUCAUAGUGAUUUUCACUUAUUUUUUAAAAUAAUAUUCCUCUCUAUUUUAGUUUGUCAUUUUUCCUUUCAUUUUUAUUAUACGAGAACUGUCUUUGCCAAUAUUCUUUUGGAUAAAGUAGGAAGGGACCAACAAUAAAAAAAAAUUAAAAAAAAUAAAGUAGGAAGGGAUAUAAUAAACUCAUGUGUAGCAUUACAUCAAGUAUGAAGGGGCCAGGAAAAAUGAUUUUUGCCUCAUUGGGCCAUCUCUUCCCUUAUCUUCCUGUCCUUAAAUAAGAGAAUAGGCUUGCUAUUUCAAUUAGAAGACCAGAACUUCAGGCCAAGUUUUGUCAUUUAUUGCUUCUGUUUGCCUCAACAAUUACUCUCUAAGUCUCCUGUUCCUUGUGUAGGGACAAUCAGAAAAUAUACUUGCUGUCAUCCCAACACUGCUCGCCCAUUCUUCUCUAGUCACACCAGGCCAUAUUCUCUUCCUCUGACACAAUUCAAUAUUGGUUUUCCUCUACCUGAAAUACUCUUCCUGACACUCUUCAGUUGUCUGGCUUCUUAUUCAUCGGUCUCAUCUCAAAUGUGGUCUUCACUGUUCUACCUAAAGAAGAUCACCUCAUAAACUUCAUUGUCCUGGCACACUGUUUUCUUCAGAGUGCAAAUUACAAUCUAUAAUUAUUUUAUGUGUGUAUAUAAAAGUUGUUUUCUGUACAUUCAACUAGAUUUAGGCCUUUUAACUGCAGUGCCAGUUCACGGUGUGACAUAAAAUAGACUCUUAAUAAACGUUUGUUAAACAUCUGAAUUUACUUCAUUGAGCUGGAACCUAUUAACAAUGUAGUAUAUGUGAAAAACAUCUUCAUUAUAUUUCUAUCUGUACUACACCUUAGAUGCA
rnacentral:lncRNA from 1 species